UACGUAGGGGGCAAGCGUUAUCCGGAUUUACUGGGUGUAAAGGGAGCGUAGACGGACUAGCAAGUCUGAUGUGAAAGGCGGGGGCUCAACCCCUGGACUGCAUUGGAAACUGUUAGUCUUGAGUGCCGGAGAGGUAAGCGGAAUUCCUAGUGUAGCGGUGAAAUGCGUAGAUAUUAGGAGGAACACCAGUGGCGAAGGCGGCUUACUGGACGGUAACUGACGUUGAGGCUCGAAAGCGUGGGGAGCAAACAGG
rnacentral:rRNA from 1 species